CCAGACUCCUACGGGAGGCAGCAGUAGGGAAUCUUCGGCAAUGGACGGAAGUCUGACCGAGCAACGCCGCGUGAGUGAAGAAGGUUUUCGGAUCGUAAAGCUCUGUUGUAAGAGAAGAACGAGUGUGAGAGUGGAAAGUUCACACUGUGACGGUAUCUUACCAGAAAGGGACGGCUAACUACGUGCCAGCAGCCGCGGUAAUACGUAGGUCCCGAGCGUUGUCCGGAUUUAUUGGGCGUAAAGCGAGCGCAGGCGGUUAGAUAAGUCUGAAGUUAAAGGCUGUGGCUUAACCAUAGUACGCUUUGGAAACUGUUUAACUUGAGUGCAAGAGGGGAGAGUGGAAUUCCAUGUGUAGCGGUGAAAUGCGUAGAUAUAUGGAGGAACACCGGUGGCGAAAGCGGCUCUCUGGCUUGUAACUGACGCUGAGGCUCGAAAGCGUGGGGAGCAAACAGGAUUAGAUACUCUGGUAGUCCACGCCGUAAACGAUGAGUGCUAGGUGUUAGACCC
rnacentral:rRNA from 1 species